rnacentral:rRNA from 1 species
CCAAUAGCGUAUAUUAAAGUUGUUGCAGUUAAAAAGCUCGUAGUUGAAUUUCGGGAUUGGCGCAUCGGUCGUGCCUCACGGGGUAUGAACUGGUGCAGUCAAUUUCUCACCUUCUGGAGAACCGCGAUGUCCUUAAUUGGAUGCCGCAGGGAACCAGGACCUUUACUUUGAAAAAAUUAGAGUGUUUAAAGCAGGCAUUU